AAAACCAAGAGUCAGACGCUUAACCAGCUGAACCAGCCACGCACCCCAAAACGGGGCAUUUUGAUGAGGCUACUUUGAGUUAGCCCUUGCAUCAAAAUGACCACACGAAAAUGCAGACAUAGUGUCUCAAAUUACCAAAUAACAUACAGCACAGACAUCCCUGUCUCCAUAUCCUCUUCUGCACCUCAUGCCACUCUCAGCCCAAGUCCGGGCUCUGCCCUAGAAGCAAUCCUCAGCCAUCUCAGAAAACACUCCAUUUUUAAUCUUUCCCAGUCACACACUCCACCCCAGGAGUAGGAAUUGGGGACAAGAUGAAAAUCUUUGCUUUGUACACUGCUUGAUGAUUUAGAAAGGAGGAGAAUUUUAUGUUUUACUUAUCAUAGUUUAAUGUGAAAAAGUUCUUCAAUCAGUAUGGCCACAUGAAAGCAGCUCGGUCAUAAUGCUGUUUGGCUAAAACUGGCUGUGCCCAGCAGCCACGGCAUGAUGUCACUUCCUCUCUAACAGCGACCAGUGCUCGACCAGCCUGAAGAACAUGUGAGGCUCUACUGUCAACCUGGGAGUGGUGGGCCGUGAGGGCCAGGAAGCCCAGUGCUGCCCUAGACCCUCUUCAGGUUCAGGGGCAGGGCCGGCAUGUGCUCAGCAGGCGCUGCUCUUGGUCACAGCCCUCGCUGCUCUUUGGUCUGGCUGGCCACAGAGAAUGGCCUGUGGAGACUUGAAACUGGUCAAAAAACCCCAUUCUGGCCGAAAAUGUCUGCGGUGGGUUAAUUUAUUCUAUAAUUUAAAGAAUUCCAUUAUUGGAAUGCACUUAAUGAAAGAGAAGCAGAAUCCUGAGUGUGAGCUAAAACUGGAAUAAAAAUAGGCCCAUUCUUCAGGCAACAUUAAUGGAAGCUUUGUAUAUAAAUAACUUUAUAUUUUGGUGAAUAAAUGGCACUUACAACUACAAUGUCUAUGAGUGAUUCACUGGGUUCUAAAAACUGGCCUUGCCUUCUGUGGUCAGCCAUCUUUUUUCUUUGGGACUCCACUAUUCUCGACAGAAAACAGUUAAUCCGAUAUGAUUUAGUAUCUCACAAAAGAUUCUGCUAAAACAUUUUCUGCCAAAUGUUCAUCUUCUAACAGCUGCUUUUUUAUGUCAGUGAGAGGUACUUGAAAUAAAAUCAUUGUUCUCUGUGAAAACUGCCUGCCCCAUAAUACAGAGCUACCGUAUUAUUAAACAGUAAAGAUAUCUGAUAAUAUUAGCACCAACCACAGGUUCCUCUUCUGCUGAUGCACAAAAUUUUGAGUAAUUAGUCAUUGCACAAUAUCGUAUUUAUAUCCUUUUUUUGCUUGAGCUGUUAGGCCACAAAAUCAGUAGGCAGUUGCUGUUAUAAAAGGGUUCUCCGGGUUAUUUAUAAUGUUUCUGGUUCCUACAGUUGCUGGUUCACUCUCGGGUCUUGGGCUAGUUGUACAUGGUGGGAACGAAGGAUGGAACUGAACAAUUGUUCCCAGAGUCUCACUGCUGAAGGCUGGUGUGGAUGAUUCACAACAAACUGUGGAUGCCUUGGCUGGAAUACCUGGUGUUUUGUCUACCCAACCCCAAUUCAUCACAUACUGGCUGAUUUGUCACUUCAUCAGGGGGAGAGCGUGUAGUUACGUGAAGGCUGUGUUCGUAUCUGGAGAAAGCUGGCGUCUCAGGCACAGGCGUUAGGGGAGAUAUCUCAACGAGCACUGUGUUGCAAAAGAGUUCCCUUCACAUGCUGUUUACUUUAAGUGAAGGAUAAAUUUCUGCUCCAAAUGCCUCUCUGUUGCACAGAUCAGUGAUUCCCCAAAAUGGGGGUGGCAGGCAGCCAGACAUGCCCAAUGUAAGGGCAUGCAGGGAUCAUCUGAGCAUUUCAUUUUAUUUUCUGUAAACUACACCGCUGUAUUCCUGUGCCAUCUGCAGAGAAUCGCCAGUGAUACGGACUGUUUCUGAUGGGAGUAUGUCUUGGUCCUUAGUGUCACUGAAACAUUUCACAAUUUAUAACCAAGGAAGGAAGGGAGGACGCAGGCGAUUUGGUUGGCCCCGGGAUGACUGAGGGAAGUAGUCAAUGAGUGGUUCACCUCUCCUUCAGGUUUGGUCACUCAAUGACGAGAAUGAAUGGAAGUGGUCUGUGCCCGAAACUUUGAUAUCUGGACUGGAAAGAUCCUGCCACACUACUAUCCGUGCAGUCCAGCUCCUUGUCCUGUACAGGAAGAUGCUGGAAUCAAAUGGCAGUGGGACCUGGGUUUCUUUCCACUCCGUGGACUGGAGAGUAUAUGCGCUCCUGGUACAUGCUUCCUGGUACCCCGACAUGAUCCAGUGUUUUCCUCUCCCAACCCUUUUCCAAGUCCUGGCAAUCAACAGUGAGGGGAGCUCAAACUGUAUCUUGGCUAUAAGGUCUGCCUCGUGAGGGAUUAGCAGGAGGAGAAAAGUGAGGUCAUAAGCCGCCUGAGAGCGAGUAAUGCCCUCCUGACAGAAAAGUGAAGGAGCCCAUUUGUUCCAGAGAAAAUGCCUCCCUGGGAGUUCCUCGCCUCGCCAAGUGAAUUAUCUCCUCUUUAUUGGACUUAUGAAGAGGCUGAACAGUGGUGUGCAGAACAGGCAAGGAUUUUCAUAAUGACAGUGCGGGAUGAGAGGACAAAGAUAGCAUAAAAAGGCUGAGGGAGAUUCUACACCCAGAAAAUAACUAGCCUUGUUUCCUGUGUCACCUUCGCUCCAAUGGCGGGGGGGACGCUGAGGGCCCAUUCAGUAGAUUCAGCGGAGCUAUGAAGUGGAAGAUUCUUUAUCACAAGAGUAUCUGCUCAUCGGUGAAGGGCCUAGACGGAUCUUUUUGUUAUUGUUGUUUGACCUCUGUUUUCUAAACUGAUAUAAUUCACAUACCAUAAAACUCACCCUUUAAAAGUGUGCGAUUCAGUGGUUGUCAGUAUAUCCACAAGGUUGUGCACCCAUCACCACCAUCUAAUUCCAGAACAUUUUCCUCGCCCCAGAAAGGACUCCUGUACCCGUUAGCAGUCAGUCUCCCUGCCCCCUCUUCCCAGCUGCUGGAAGCCAGCCAUCUACCCUCUGUUUCUAUAGAUUUAUCUAUUCUGGACAUGUCAUCUACAUGGAAGCAUAUAAUUUGUGGCUUUUUAUG